CCUGCAAGUCCAAUUUGACCGGCACCAGCAAUUGGCUGACUUAAUCUUGAUGGACCAUUUUUUGUUUCUCUUUGUCAGAGGGCAAAACUGUGGCCAGACAGAUGUGUUCACUUUUCCCCAGCCCUCGCAAAGGUUUCAGAAGUUCCUUGCUUCAUGGCCAAUGCCUCUCCUCCCAAGUCUCAAGGGUCCUAUGUUGGGAGCAAUGCAAGUGUUUCCCUGUCCUGGACAUUGCUGGAGAUAUACUUUCCUUGAUGAUUUUCAUUUCUGUGCUCUGAGUACCUUCCUUUUCAGAGAUGAUUUUAAAGCAUCCCCAUGGAGCAGUUCAUUGCCAUUUUUGUGCUUGUGUUGCCAGAUGUCCUCUCAAACCCGGCUGCUUGUGGUCUGCACAGCUGUCCUCCUGGGGUCAGAAGCUGUACUCAGCAGAUCAGCUGACCAAGGGGCACUGGUCCUGCCUAAUGCAGACAGGGUUCCAAAACUGCAGCUGCCCCACUGUCUUCAGUUGGUGAGCAGUGGGACUGAGUCCAUGCUAAGGCUGGCCAUGCUCUUCACCUGGCUCUGCUGUCAAAUGCACAGUGAGGCAGUGCAUCCAGAGCACUUGGAAAUGGUGCCCCGUACAUGGAAGCAGGUGAUCCAGUUUCCAAAAAGCCAGAGGGAGCAGAAGGAGGUCAACAUCUCAAGGAGAGGUGAUGUGCUAUUGGCAGAUCCCUGUGGCAUCUCCACCUGAGGAAGACCUGCCUUGUAGGGAUGGGUCAUGAGAUGGAACAGGAGAGAGAGAGAGACAUCAACUCCUGCCUGAAGAGUUGGUGCUUUGCUCUGCUCCUGCUGCAUGGUGACAGAGUCCCAGGAUGCUGUGUACUGUGGACGUGGAAGGAGCUCAGUCUUCCCGAUUGACAGUGGACAGCACUGCAGUAUUAUGGAUGGUCCAGCCUUCACCCCAGUCCUGGAGUCCUAGAUGGCCCUCCCCAGAUCUACCCAGCCUUCAUCCACUGACACAACUCUGACACACUGGCCCUUGUACUAUACCCUGGGCCCACUUGCUUUCUGCAGCCUCAGUCACUGUCACUGGCCCUGGGGCCCGCAUGGGCUGUGCCUAGCAUUUGUUUCAGAAAGGGUAACCAUUCAGACUCCUGGGUCUGAGUCCAGGAGUGCCCAGAGUGCUCUCCCUUGUGGAGGCCCAGAAACACCUCUCAGUGGGUCCUGCCUCCAGGUGGGUGGUAAUAUGACUGGGCAUCAGGCUAAAUAAACCUUUGCACCCACUGUAUUUGGGGGUCCUGAGUGUCCCUGCAGCCAGUCACCUUUGGCAGCCCUGCAGGGAUGCAGUGAGUUCAA